rnacentral:rRNA from 1 species
UGGGGAAUAUUGCACAAUGGGGGAAACCCUGAUGCAGCAACGCCGCGUGAAGGAAGAAGGCUUUCGGGUCGUAAACUUCUAUCGACGGGGAAGAAUAAAUGACGGUACCCGAGUAAGAAGCCCCGGCUAACUACGUGCCAGCAGCCGCGGUAAUACGUAGGGGGCAAGCGUUAUCCGGAUUUACUGGGUGUAAAGGGUGAGUAGGCGGUUUAAUAAGUCAUAUGUGAAAUUCCCGGGCUUAACUCGGGCGCUGCAUAAGAAACUGUUAAACUUGAGUGCAGGAGAGGUUGGCGGAAUUCCUAGUGUAGCGGUGAAAUGCGUAGAUAUUAGGAAGAACACCGGUGGCGAAGGCGGCCAACUGGACUGUAACUGACGCUGAGUCACGAAAGCGUGGGGAGCGAACA